GUGGCAAAGUUCAGAUUGAGGGAGAGGGUGAGAGAGAGAGAAAAAAAAUCUCCAUCCAGACGAACAAAAGGAUGCCUGGGCUUGGAAACUAUAGCAUGGAUAUGAAAACCGCAGUUUCGACUGGUGUGUGUAUGCGUGUGUGCGUGUGUCUGUGUGUGUCUGUAUGUGUGUGUGUGUCUGCGUGUAUUUUAAAGGUUUCUUUGAACUGCCUUUGUGCUGAGUCGGCGCUGCUUCUUGCCAAUGCAAGUCACGGUCAUACGAACUUUGUGUUAACCUUUUAUGUCGAAUGAAUCUUUUCAUUUGGAAAGCCAUAAAUCUCAUUCCGUAGCUCCUUUUGUGCAGCGCACUACGACUUAGUAAGCCAAGUGUGCGUUCAACAACAACAACAAAAAAAGUAGGAAAACAAAAAAAAGUUGCAACCGAUAGAGAGUAUAACUUUAAAAGCAAACAAACACAAUCAGAUUCCAGUGUAAAGUGCGGGACUGGCUAUUCACAGGAGGAGUCGUGGAAGCAAUCGAAGUGGAAACGGAGCGCACACAGUCACAAGGAUGUCGAAAGGCAAACCUUCAACUCGAGUCAACAGAUGUGAAGCUAGGAGAGCACAGCAGGUGACACAGCCUCCGAGGAGCAGGAAAAACAAUGUUUCCGACCGAAACCCUUCGUCAGGACUUAGUGUUCGUUUUCUCAAAUUAGAAGAAAAUUUGUUCACCAAUUAAUGUCCUGCAAAGUGUCCUCACUCGUCGUUCGAAGCGUCCUGGCACCGAAUGGACGCCGGGGACGGACCAACCCGUGCUUCUGCCGGUCCUGUAAUCCUGUGGCAUGUGCUGAUGACAUCACAUGAUGUCCAUUGCCGGCAACAUCCAGUUCCCUGCAACUGUCAUUUAAUGUUGCAAGCAAAUGAAAAAUGACUGUGAGACUCACUGGCUCCCAGAAGUGACCUUGAGUAUUAUUAGAAUGACCUCCCAUCGGUUUGACCAGAAGACCUUUGAUAUCUGCAUGAAGAAAAUAUACGAGUGAGAUGCCUCGUCUACAGAUAGAAAGGACAACGAUCAGCGAGAAUAGCACAAAGCUGAAGCUAAGUUGCAGCUCAUUGCUGCCAACAUUAAAAAGUAAUCACUGUACAUAACUUGACUCCCUGCAUCCACUUGCUCUAAGAAUUGUUUUUUUUAAUGCAAACCAUUAGAUUUUUGUUUAAGAAACACAUUCAUUUAAAAGGCCCCUGGCUUGUACAGGAUGCACACACACACACACACACACACACAUAGAGACAUACAUAUCGCCUCUGUUAGUUGGAAAUGAAUCUGACAGUCAAUAGAGUUCCAUGUCUCUCAACCGGCAUUCUAUUACCAACGUUGUCAAGCCGUAGCCAGGAAGAAAACUGUAAGGGGAAAUCACAUGUUUUGAGAGGUUAGUUCAUUGAGUAGACCAAAGCUUUUCUUCACCAAAAAAAGGUAAGCCGAAUUCCGUGAUGUAAUCAGCUGUUCUCCAUUCAAUCACGCAGUCUCUUCCUUCCCUAAACAAACUGCUAAGCAGUUGCAAUCAGCUCACACACUCUAAGCAAGUUCCAUGACCAAUACGAUAUCCCGAAAACAAAUUAAUGAAGACUGAUUACGGGAAGGACGGUUAGCGUUACUGCUCUACUUUCAUCCCCUGCAUCGUUCAUCUAUGCCCGUCAGUCUCCUCUUUCCUUCCCUUCACAUUUCAUACUAUUUUAAAACAAUCUCCCCGCCCGCUUUACCAGAUUCCAAUCUCUUUCUUCCUCUUUAAUUCCCCUUUCCUCAUGCUUCUGGGCUUUUUCUUGGUUUCUUUGCCUUAUCCACCAACUGGAGGCGCACCUUACUUUAUUUAUGCCUUUUGAGGGGAUUAAUGAACCCUCUCCCAUUGUCUGUUCUCCUCCAGCGGUGCAUCCUGUUAGUAACAAUGCAAAGUGGUUGUGGUCUUAUGUGAGUUGGUGUUUGUACACAAACGCAGGUACCCCUACCUCCAAAAUGCACCUAUUCGGGAUAUUUGACACCAGCAAAGUUCUCAACCGCAAGAUGAAUCUGCGAUUGUUCAAAUAAAAACCGCCAUUCCGUUAAUUCAGCCAGGGGCUAACAAUUCCCUAUAACUGGUGUUAUUACAGUAACAGUAACGCCAGUGCAACACAAUGCAUUUUGGUCCACACGUAGUUAUAAUUAGCUACAUAUAUGAAGCUGCGUGUCGCAUGCAAGCAUUGGCAGCAGUAAAGGGUCUCUCUUUCUUUUUCUACCCCCACCCACCACUACAUCGGCAUCCUACCUCAUCCCACUCCCAUCCUCCCAUUCCCUCCCUCAAUAUUAGACAAGCUGUUCACUUUCAAUCCAUAUUGAAAUUAAUACGGAUAUUGUCAUGUACAGAUUGCGACCGUGGGAUACUUGAGUUGAGCUAAUGCCUUUUCCCCAAUGUGCAUUCGUCAGUAUGAUAAAAUGUUUCCUUUGCAUAUAGAACGGUACUGCAUCGAGAUUGUAGUGUGCUGAAUUACAUGUGUUACAAAGUUGGAAAGAGAGAUCUUUCAAAGACAGCAGAUUCAAUCCAAUCAAAUAACAUUGUGAUUUUCUAAGACCUUCUGUGACAAAAUUGAAAUCUUAAUAAAUGAAAGCAUCAGAACUGU